AGUCAGAUGCACCCUUUCUCCCAGUGGUAAAAAUAUAAAUACGAUACUCUGGAAAACCUCCCGGGUGAAAUGCUCACCGAUAUCCGUGCACUUGCGGAUCAUUUUCUAAUUGCGUUACCAAAUAUCAACAAGCAUGUUCCUCGAUUGCAUAAUGAAGAGGCCAAUCGGUUGGCUCAGCAUGCCUCGGGAUAUCAGCCCAUGAUUAAUGCACUAUCGGUAAUCGGUGCUGAUG
rnacentral:lncRNA from 1 species